rnacentral:rRNA from 1 species
CGGCACGGUGAGUAACGCGUAUGCGACCUGCCCGUUGCAGGGGGAUAAUCGGGAGAAAUCCCGUCGUAAUACCGCGUAAUGCCGCGGGGCUGCAUGGCCCUGCGGCCAAAGGGAGCGAUUCCGGCAACGGAUGGGCAUGCGUGACAUUAGCUAGUUGGCGGGGCAACGGCCCACCAAGGCGACGAUGUCUAGGGGUUCUGAGAGGAAGGUCCCCCACACUGGUACUGAGACACGGACCAGACUCCUACGGGAGGCAGCAG